AUGCGGGACUCAUCAGAGGCCUCGCAAUUGGAAUGAGCGCACUUUAAAUCGUUCGACGAGGAUCUAUUGGAGGGCAAGUCUGGUGCCAGCAGCCGCGGUAAUUCCAGCUCCAAUAGCGUAUAUUAAAGUUGUUGCAGUUAAAAAGCUCGUAGUUGGAUCUGGGGUUCGGGUCGGCGGUUUGCCGCUUCGGCGGCUACUGCCGUGCUCGACUCUUACUAGCCGGUGCGUCUUGCGGUGCUCUUCAUCGAGUGCCGUAGGAGCCUGGCAUGUUUACUUUGAAAAAAUUAGAGUGCUCAAAGCAGGCGAUUCCGCCUGAAUAGUGUUGCAUGGAAUAAUGGAAUAGGACCUCGGUUCUAUUUUGUUGGUUUUCGGAACUUGAGGUAAUGAUUAAGAGGGACGGUCGGGGGCAUUCGUAUUUCGGUGUUAGAGGUGAAAUUCUUGGAUCGCUGAAAGACGGACAAAUGCGAAAGCAUCUGCCAAGAACGUCUCCAUUAAUCAAGAACGAAAGUCAGAGGUUCGAAGACGAUCAGACACCGUCCUAGUUCUGACCAUAAACGAUCCAACUAGCGAUCCGCAGUGGUUGCUAUAAACGGACUCUGCGAGCAGCUUCCGGGAAACCAAAGUGUUUGGGUUCCGGGGGAAGUAUGGUUGCAAAGCUGAAACUUAAAGGAAUUGACGGAAGGGCACCACCAGGAGUGGAGCCUGCGGCUUAAUUUGACCCAACACGGGGAAACUCACCCGGUCCGGACACUGUAAGGAUUGACAGAUCGAGAGCUCUUUCUUGAUUCGGUGGAUGGUGGUGCAUGGCCGUUCUUAGUUGGUGGAGUGAUUUGUCUGGUUAAUUCCGAUAACGAACGAGACUCUAGCCUGCUAACUAGUUGCGCCGUGUUCAUACGCGGCUGUAGACUUCUUAGAGGGACAGGUGGCGUUUAGCCACACGAAAUUGAGCAAUAACAGGUCUGUGAUGCCCUUAGAUGUCCGGGGCCGCACGCGCGCUACACUGAAGGAGUCAGCGUGUGCUAUCCGGGCUCGGAAGAGUUCGGUAACCCGUUGAAACUCCUUCGUGCUUGGGAUUGUGGCUUGUAAUUAUCGCGCAUGAACGAGGAAUUCCCAGUAAGUGCAAGUCAUCAGCUUGCGCUGACUACGUCCCUGCCCUUUGUACACACCGCCCGUCGCUACUACCGAUUGAAUGGUUUAGCAAGGUACUCGGAUUGGUCUCGAUCUUGUACGAAAGUGCGGGAUCUGUGGCCGAGAAGAAGGCCAAACUUGAUCAUUUAGAGGAAGUAAA
rnacentral:rRNA from 1 species